UACGAAGGGGGCUAGCGUUGCUCGGAAUUACUGGGCGUAAAGCGCACGUAGGCGGAUCCUUAAGUCGGUGGUGAAAUCCUGAAGCUCAACUUCAGAACUGCCUUCGAUACUGGGGACCUUGAGUUCGGGAGAGGUGAGUGGAACUGCGAGUGUAGAGGUGAAAUUCGUAGAUAUCGGAAGGAACGCCGGUGGCGAAAGCGGCGUGCUGGACCUCUUCUGACGCUGAGGCGCGAAAGCCAGGGGAGCAAACGGG
rnacentral:rRNA from 1 species